CUCCACUGGAAUCAGCAACUCCCUGGAACUCGGGCCUCUGGCCCCGUCCCUCUUUUCUCCGGCAGGGACGCAGGAUGCCUUGGUGCACUCUAGAGACGGGGACCGGAGGGUGCAGCGCGCCUGGGUGGGGCGAAGGGCGCCGGUCUCCUCACGCCCUCUGACUUUAGGAUACCAGACAGUGUCUCUUCAACCCCACCCCAGGCGCAGGUUUCCAGAAGGCGGGGUGGGUGGGGCCCCCGAUUUCCAGAAGGCGAGUUACCUAGCAGGAGAAAAAUCAAGACGUUCCCUUCAGUCCUCCCUCGGUGUUAACGUCUGCUCCAGCUCGCAGCCCGCUGCUGGGCAUUUUAUUAAUGCUUUUACGAGUUAGAAGAGUUGGGAUAAUUUGCCAUCUGGAGUUUCUCUGCCUUGCUGAUCUGAGCUCAGACCUGCCAAUUUACCAGAGAUAAUUGAUAACACCCUGUAACAGCUGAGAAAAAUGAGGAAGCUGUGAGUACCAGUGGAAGGAACGAGCCAGGAAGAGGGACUGGAACCAUCUCAGAAGCCAUGCCCCUCAGGCUGGAACUUGCCCUGUCUCCUCGCAGAUGAGCUACCUCUUGUGUUUAAGAAUUAAAGGAAGAUGAGCUAGGAAUCAAGAAAUACGCAGAACUGAUUCCUGUCACUGGCGCCACCCUGCCACUUGCCCAGAGCUGUGGUAUAAAUUUUUUUAAUAGGCUGAAAUAAAAAUAUGAAUAGCAUUUUGGUAUUAAGCAUUAAAUUGAUAAAGGCUAUGAGAUACACCUGCUCUCAACCAUGUUAAUUUUUUAUUAUUGGUAUUAAUAAAUUAUUACUUACUAACAUAUUAACAAGAAUUGCAUUGAGAAACAAAGCAUCCACAGGCCAAAUCUUCUGAAUUUCAAAUGUUUAUAUUAAUGCGUUGUAUUCUAGAAAAGUAGAAUUGUCUUAAGUAGCUUUGUAAUAUAAAGUCAUCUAUCAGCCCAUUACACCUAUUAGAAUGUUUUAACCUUUAUUUCCCACUUUUUUGUUUCUAGACUGAGUGUACUUGGUCUGGUAUUUGUGGCAUAACUUACGGAACACAUAAGAAUGAUACAGAUACUAUUUAAUGAUGACCUAAUACAAGCUUAGAUAGCUAAGGUGAAAGCUUCUAUGGCCUUAACAUUUUCCUCUUGAAGAAUGUAUUUUCUGUAAUAAAAUACAGUGGCUACUUGAAAUCUA
rnacentral:lncRNA from 1 species